rnacentral:rRNA from 1 species
AACGAACGCUGGCGGCGUGGAUAAGACAUGCAAGUCGAACGGAGUAGUUUGGUAGCAAUAUUGAACUGCUUAGUGGCGAACGGGUGCGUAACACGUGGAUUACAUGCCGGGAAGCGAGGGAUAGCCCAGGGAAACUUGGAUUAAUACCUCAUGUGGUCGCAAGACUAAAGGCGGGGCAACCUGUCGCUUUCUGAUUGGUCCGCGGCCUAUCAGCUUGUUGGUGAGGUAAUGGCUCACCAAGGCUACGACGGGUAGCUGGUCUGAGAGGAUGACCAGCCACACUGGAACUGAGACACGGUCCAGACACCUACGGGUGGCAGCAGUCGAGAAUCUUUCACAAUGGGGGCAACCCUGAUGGAGCGACGCCGCGUGGAGGAUAAGGUCUUCGGAUUGUAAACUCCUGUCAUGCGAGAGCAAGAUACCUUAGGUAACUUUAAGUUAUUUGAUAGUAUCGCAAGAGGAAGAGACGGCUAACUCUGUGCCAGCCGCCGCGGUAAUAC